ensembl:lncRNA
UGCAGUGUUGUUUGGAGCAAGGCCACAGGCUCUCUCAGGGAAGGAAGUGCUGAAGCAGCUGUAAAAGUUUCAAAUUGAAGACCAAGAAUCCAGAGGCAGUAUUUAAAAAAAAUAUACAAAUUGCUUCAGAGCUGGUGUCUCCUGGGCUUGGACAAAGUGUCAGGCAUCCGUCUUUGUCAUCACAAUCCGGGUGUCUGCCCUGUGUGCUGGGUACCUUGCAGAGCCGGCAGAUCAGCCCCGGGCAUGCCCUCUGGGUACUUGGCCUGAAGAGGGGACUGUAGAGACUACUCCGAACUAGACAGUGGAGAUAAAAGAGGGGCAGAAUCAGGUAAAGGAGGUCCUUACAAGUUACCACCAACCAGAAGAAUCCAGGAAAGUUCAAAAUGAGGGAGGAGACUCCAGUCCAUACAUCCUGCCAACCUCCCGGAAUCCUUCUCUCUGGAAUCCAUCUUGGCUGAGUGAUGCACGUGCCACCAGGAAGGACCCUGAGUCAGAAUAAUUAGCCAGAGACAAGCUGGAAACUAAUCCCAUUACCAUAAAAGCUGAGACUGUAAGCCAUGUGACAGAGCAAUUGUCCUGGAUGCCCUUACCCAGCUGCUCUGCACCGGGGCUCCUCUUCCCAAUAAAGUCUCCUGCUUUGUCAGCA